rnacentral:rRNA from 1 species
GAUGAACGCUAGCUACAGGCUUAACACAUGCAAGUCGCGGGGCAGCAUGGGGGUUGCUUGCAAUCCCCGAUGGCGACCGGCGCACGGGUGAGUAACGCGUAUCCAACCUGCCCUUCACCACGGGAUAACCCGGCGAAAGUCGGACUAAUACCGUAUGUUGUCCAUUGACGGCAUCCGAUUUGGACGAACUGCUUGGCGGUGAGGGAUGGGGAUGCGUCCGAUUAGCCAGACGGCGGGGUAACGGCCCACCGUGGCUACGAUCGGUAGGGGAUCUGAGAGGAAGGUCCCCGGCACGGGAACAGGGACACGGACCAGACUCCUACGGGAGGGAGCAGUGAGGUAUAGUAGGCAAUGGGCGUAAGCCUGAACCAGCCAAGUAGCGUGCAGGAUGACGGCGCUAUGGGUAGUAAACUGCUUUUAUGCGGGGAUAAAGUUGCCCACGGGUGGGCUUUUGCAGGUACCGCAUGAAUAAGGACCGGCUAAUUCCGUG